UCGAGAAUUUUUGACAAUGGGGGAAACCCUGAUCGAGCGACGCCGCGUGGAGGAUGAAGGUCUUCGGGUUGUAAACUCCUGUCAUUUGAGAACAAGGCGCGCACGUUAACUGCGUGCGCGUUGAUAGUAUCAGAAGAGGAAGGGACGGCUAACUCUGUGCCAGCAGCCGCGGUAAUACAGAGGUCCCAAGCGUUGUUCGGAUUCAUUGGGCGUAAAGGGUGUGUAGGUGGCGCCGUAAGUCGGGUGUGAAAUUUCGAGGCUUAACCUCGAAACUGCAUUCGAUACUGCGGUGCUCGAGGACUGGAGAGGAGACUGGAAUUCAUGGUGUAGCAGUGAAAUGCGUAGAGAUCAUGAGGAAGACCAGUGGCGAAGGCGGGUCUCUGGACAGUUCCUGACACUGAGACACGAAGGCCAGGGGAGCAAACGGGAUUAGAUACCCCCGUAGUCC
rnacentral:rRNA from 1 species